AGUCAAAGAAUAUGUCAGCAGUUAAUGAACAGUUGUGUUGUUGGUGUGGUGGAGGUUGUUGUCUAGCAGCAGGACUGCAGUUAAUCCUACAGGAUCACUGACAGCAACACUGAGGGGAACCAGCAGGGGGCGCUCACUGCUGUCUGUUAAAUAUUACUCAUGGAAGUCACUCUGCAGUCACUGGACCACAACAGAGAGACGAUCCCACAUUAUUACACUUUGACCAUCAGAGGCUCCAAAUAAACAUGAACUCUGAUCCUUCACAGAACAAGUCCAGGAUCAGAGUCAGACUGGAGUCCAGGAUCAGAGUCAGACUGGAGUCCAGGAUCAGAGUCAGACCGGAGUCCAGGAUCAGAGCCUCAUAUCACCCUGCUGAAAAAAGUCAGAGAAACCAUUAGGUAUAUUCUAUUGGUUUCUAAUGGUUCCUGAUGGUUUGUAAUAGUUUCUAAUGGGUAGUUAUGCUUUCCUAAUGGUUAGUUCGUUUUUCUAAUGGGAUUAUAUUUUGUCCUACACAAAUCAACAUGACUUUUACUAAUAGUUCCUACAGGAGUCUAAUGGUUCCUACAGGAGUCUAAUGGUUCCCACAGAAGUCUUAAUGGUUCCUACAGGUGUUUUUAUACCAGUCUAAUGGUCACUAUACAAUGGUUUAGUGGUCACUACAGGGUGUUUUCUCUAAUGGUUCCUAUUGUGAUGGGGGAACACAGAUGUUAUACCUGUUAAGAAUUCUUCAAGUUACUGUUUUGUAUUCAUGCUUUUAUUUUGGAAGAGGCGCUCUUAUUGUUUGAUUGUGUAGCCAGUUCCUUCCUGUUUCACGAGUGCAGCGGUCAACGUGUUCACAGCAUUGUAGCAGUCACUGACGAUAAACUGCUGCUGUUGAUGCUGCCCAAGCUGAUGCUGAUGCUGUUCUACAUACAGUAAACAGUUAAACGGC